UACGGAGGGUGCAAGCGUUAUCCGGAUUCACUGGGUUUAAGGGGUGCGUAGGCGGGUUGGUAAGUCCGUGGUGAAAUCCCCAAGCUUAACUUGGGAACUGCCGUGGAUACUAUCAAUCUUGAAUAUCGUGGAGGUAAGCGGAAUAUGUCAUGUAGCGGUGAAAUGCUUAGAUAUGACAUAGAACACCAAUUGCGUAGGCAGCUUACUACACGAUCAUUGACGCUGAGGCACGAAAGCGUGGGGAGCAAACAGG
rnacentral:rRNA from 1 species